AGAAAUAUGUCGAAAAGCGAAGAAGAAAAAUGGAGGAAAGUUUUUUAUCAAUCCUACCUUUAUUGGAAGGUAAUAUGCUUUAUUUAAUAUCAAUCAUUGUAGUAGAGUACUUAGAUUGCCAAUAUAGAUGGAAAUUUAAGACAUCGAGCCCGAAUUUAAAGCGAUAUUUGGGCAUAAAGUUUGUGCUUUUGCUUUGCACGUGGUUCGGCGGUUCGCAUUGUGGCCGAUUGUCGAACUUUAAACCGUGUUUUACUAUAGACCAAGUGAGUAAAAAGACUAAUUAAGAUCUAGAAUUGAUUAAGUUGUCGAAAAAGUUGUUAAUAUCUCCAAGUUCUUGCAUUAAAAUAAAACUAAGUGAAAAUUGCUACCAUAACUCAGGGGCCAUUCCAUUUACUGUACACCUCCCCCCCAUAGACGAGGUCAAUAAAAUUUGAACCCCUAAGAAAAAAAAGGUCAAAGUGCCGACACAAACACCCCCCCAAGAAAUUAAGAAAUUUUCUCCUUACUCCUCAGAAAAAAUGCAAAGAUCAAAGGAUGCCGAUGCACACAACCCCUCAGAAACUGCUUUUUCAAACCCUCUCGGAAAUUCUCGUCCAUGGGGGGGGGGGGUUUAUGGAAUGGCCCAAGGCAACAUCCAGAAUUGUGUUUCUUGACGUCACUGCAGGCUGGGAGGUGGGUAGGUGGGGCUUUUCCGUUUGCGGGCUGGAGGGAUUAAUCUAAAGUUUGUAGGAUGAGGGUGGUUUGAAAAGAAGAUUGUUCUUUUGAAGCACGUCUAUUCCAGGCUCAAAAAUAUGCAGGGCUGGCAAGGAUUCAGGGAAUUUUAAAAAAAUAAAAAGGACAGUGUUUGUUAAAUUUAAAAGCAUAUUUAAGUCAAAAUGAAGUUGAAAAACGUCCAACAAUUGGUUGGCAAUUUCUGACCAAUUUUGAACAUUACAAAAACUAACAAAAAAAUAUGUGAUUGGGUCAUUACAGAAAACAUCCAUACCACCCCCACAGAGGCAAUAGGAAGUUUAUAUAUACAUGAUUGACUGUGCAUCCCUAUUUUCUCUGGGUGGUUGCAGGCUGCUGCCAAAAGGUGUCUGUUGUCACAUUAAUUAUUGAAAAAAAUAUUCAAAAAAAAUUUAAUUUAAUUUAAUAACUUUGCCAUAACAUAAAUUACAAAUUCUGGCAGGGUCCCACAACUGCAUAACGCCAAUUACUGUGGGCCUAUUUCCGACCUACCAACCCUAAUUUUUUUUUGUAAUAUCAAAACGGAACCACAGGUAUUUUUUUAGGCCCUAGCCAAGCUAUUCACAUCCUCAGCAAAAUUCUCAUAAAUUUUUGUAGACAUACAGUGCAAGUUCCGAGAAUGUUGCAAGCCCCUGCCUCAAGAUCUCAUGAUUAUGAAAAAUGGACACAUUCCAAGAUCCUGAAUAAGAGGUAAAUUAUUUUUCUUCCAAUUAUAAUCUUCUCCUUGUAUUUCUUUGGACAAUUUCUUUGUAAUAUAUUAAUUUGUUUCAUGUUCUCAAUAGCGAGUUUUUAAAAUUUUGUAGAUGUGUGUUGCAAUUUCCAAGAAUCUCUCAAGUUGUUGGCUGACGUGUUUUUGAUCACAAAAAUGAACACCGUCAUUGGAAAGUAUAUAAAAGGUCUUAAUAUUUUUCUUAUCUUGCAUGAAAUGCUUUGAACAUUAUGUGAUUGCUUGUGAUCAAUGGUUUCAACAAUCCCAGCAGAAUAUUGCAAAAAUAGCAUGACCAUCUUAUUUAUAACACAAAAAUAACAAACACAAUCUUUACACCAAAAUAUGGUGAGUGUACAAUAAUGCACUCUUUUUAUUCUAUUACUACACCACCAUUAUUUGACUUGUAUUAAUUUGGAAAAUUUCAGUUUUGUGGUUCCUCGAUUACUUUCCUCGGUUCCUCGAUUACGUUUUUUGUUGCCACCGAUCACAGAAAGUUUAUAAUGUUCAAAGCAUAUAAGCAUUUUAUGAGCAAGCCAGAAAAUGACAAACUGUCUGUGUUUCAAAAAAUUGUGUUUAACAAUGACGAUUCGGUUUGGACAUACAUUUUCUCUGUUUGGCAAUGGCUGACUCUUAAACUACAGAACCUAUAAAUUUGUGUUUAUCUGUGUUCUUUUUGAGAACAUAGUUGUUUCUACAUAUUUCCAAAUUACGUUUUUGUCAAAUAUAAAAAAAAUGCAUUUUAGUUUGUCAUUAUUUGGCUUUGUUACAUCAGUUAAACAUUGAGAAGAUUGAGGUGGUUUUUAUUAGAAACAAAAAACGAGUCAUGUGACUUUAUUAAUUCAGGAUUUUCUUUUUGUCAUCUUUCAUGUUUCGGCAUUAAUUUGGAGUAUGUUUUCAUUAAUUAAUUAAAGGAUUAAAAGAACAUUGAUGAACAUUUGUCUCGUCGUAAUUUCUGUUUUGAACUUAUCAAAGCUAGUGCAUUGUGAAAACAGUAACUUGUAUUCCAUUUCAAUCUUCUCUUGUUUAAAUAGACUUUCAGUGUUUGUUGUUGAAAGUUUGGAAAGUGCAUCUGAAAAUCACAAUAUUUCUUUCAAUGUUGAUUCUGGAUUUAAUUCGAGUCUUGAAAUAUUGAAUCUUAGAAAAAGCAAUUAGUGAUCAAUUGAAGAAUACAAUACUUUUAAAAUUAGCACUGUUAGAACUGCCUCGCUGUUUAAUAGUCCUGUCUUAUUUAUCCCAGCACACUCUUAAUACAUGAGUUUGAUUAUUCCUGGACACAAAUAAAAUGGAUUUGUUAAGGAACAAGGCAGUUCUAUACAGUACUGACUCAUGGGAGGGUUGUGUUCUUCAGUUGUUUUUUUUAUCAUUCAAUUUCGGAAUUAAGAAAGCUUUCCCAACUUGAAAACAAACAGUUAAGGUCGAGAUAAGCUAGGAUAUUGCCUUUACUGUAUUAGAAAGUAGAACUUAUUUGAAUAUGGAUGAACUGAAGCAGCAAACUAUACUUAAUUUUUUUUUGGGGGGGGGGGGAUGUGAGAUAUUGAAAAUGAAAGAAAAUUGAUUGUCAUGCAUGGCAAGGAAAACCACAACCAGACUACUGCAUGAUGUUCUUUGGAAUAUGUUUUGUAUUAUAGGGAAGGAAAAACAAUCAGUAUUGAAAACUAUAUAUUAAUUAACAAUUAUUCGCCGAAGGAGAGGGUGACUAUCGGUGAAUAAAAACCGAGACAAAGUCGAGGUUUUUAUUCAUGAUAAUCACCGAGCCUGAGGUGAAUAAUUUUUUUAUUGUAUAAUUCCACAGGUGAUUAUUUGGGAGGAAAAAAAUACACAUUUCUUUGUCAUUUAAUUGACAAAACAUAAGGUGAAGCAAUCCAAUAAUUGGAAUAUUGAGGCUGAAGAUAAGAUUGACAGUUUGUUGUGAUAGGUGUUAAUCAAUGCAUAAUUUUGUAAGAUUUGAAUCAAAAUUCAAGCAUGGAAUUAACCAUAUUUUUAGUAUUCAUCAAAAUUUUUGUGUGUUUCAUCACAAACAAGAUAGGCAAUGACUGAGAUGCAAAUUUUAUAAUUUGAAUACAAAGUUAUAGAUUUUAAAUAAUCUGAUUUUAUUUUAUUCAAAUCAGAUUGAAUUAAGUAAUUUUGUACUUUGGUUUGGAUACUGAGAUGACAAGAUUUAUUUUUUAAACUUAUUGGCUGAUUGUGGUUAAUAAUUGUUUGACAAUUAAAGUUAAAGUUAAUUUGUUAGUUUUCUAUGUCUACAUGUAUUUCUUUUGCUUCAGUUCAACAUUAUUUUCAAAUAGUUCCACUUUGUAAUGGUGUGUUAUAAUAGUCAAAAUAAUAAUAUAAGAAAACAGGUUUAUAUGGCACUUGAACAUGGUCUUUUCAAUGAGUAUGUAAAGGUAAGUUUAUACUUCAAAAAGGUCUGUUUUUAACCUGACAAGAAUUUCGUCCAAAAUUAACUAAAACUCAAUCUUUGUGACCUUUCAAUGAAAUUUCAUAAGUUCAAUCAGCAACUGCUACUACUGUAUAUGUCUUUUGAUGUCUGUGUUUGGUUUGCUUUAAUGUUGAUACCAGAAAUUGAUGAAAAUGCAAUAUAAUAUUUUGUUUGUUGAGAUCUGAGGAUUGUAUGGAAACUGGAGGACUUUGAUCAAAACUGUUUGUCUACUUUUGAGUUAACAAAGUAUACCCAUGCAAAACUUAGUUUCUGUUUUUUUUUAUUAUGCAACACAAUAAGCUGUUUCCUAAUUGAAAAUUACCUUUUGGUUUUGACCAAUAUAAAGAAAAGUGUAAAAAAAAUUUUAUGAACAUUUGAAAGUUUGGUUCAACCACAUUUUGUAAUUGUGUAUUUCGCUACAUGUUUUGCAUCAAAAACAUUUCCUGAAGUGUUUUUUUUUCUAUUAUAAAUAAUAUAAAACCGGAGAACUUUUCCCUAGGUGAAAUUUAGGAGAUGUUUGUAGUGGAUCAAUGUGUGUCAUUUUAUUAUAUUUAUCAAGGACGAGAAAUGUAGCAUUUUCUUAAGCAAAGCAAAUUGAAACCGAAUUUUUGAUCGAAAAAUCAAUCAGAAUUGAAGAAAUAAUAACAUUCUUUUAAAAUUUUAUUGAACUGCAUUUUCAUCAUUGAAUUAGUAUUAACAUUUUAUAUAAUCAAUUCAAAAUUGUCAGGUUAAAAACGACGCUCAAAGAUAUAUGGCUCCAAAAGACUGCGGGAUAAUUUCAAAUUCUUAAAUUCUUGAUUUGGCACUUGAAAGAAAUUUAUAUAUGUUCAAUUGAGUAUGGAACCAAUGAUCUAGUCGUAAUGUUUCGAUGUUUAAAAAUGUUAUUUCUGAGUUUAAUGAAGUAUGCUGUCGAUGCAUUGUCAAAAUGUUAAGGCACUUUAAAGGAAAUUAAUUUUCUUCAAGCAAUGGAAUUGGUUGUCAACGAGAAUGUCUUGCCAACCACGUGACAACUGAUCUCGCAUUACAAUGAAUGGUCUUCACUUUGCAUCUAAACAUCGCGAUAAACUAAUGAUUCUCCAUACUCAAGCGAAAAGUUUGGUCACUUUACCAAAAACAGCAAAAGCGUGUUCGAUUUACUUUGUCUUUGAGCCAUAUAUUUUAUUUGUAAAACAACCUGGUGUUACGCUUUUCAUUUCUCCAUCACUCCUAAAAUUUAUCAUUAGAGUUGUUUUACAAUAUUUGAAGUAUAAACAUUUAUCUUGAAAAGACCAGGUUCUCUUGUUUCCUCAAGAAUUAACUCUUUUGAUGUUAAUUCGCGGGCAAACAAGUUUUUUAAUGUUGUGUUUUCACUUGUGCUUAUUCACUUGUGUGGAACACAAUGUUAAUUGUUCUCUUUGUGCCAUGUUCUGUUUUCUUCUAUUGUUAUUUAAAUAAGUACAGUAUGCAGUGGUUGUUCUCUUUUUAUUAUUAUUCAAAUUGUAAAAUUACAAAUUCUUUUCAAUAAAUUGUUCAUUAAUUAUACAAGAGACUCCUUUUUAAUUCAAAAUUCAAUUCCCAUGGGAAUUGAAAAAAAAAAUAAAAAAAAUCCCUCUACCCCGGCCGGCUCCCCAAGUGCUACCUCUACUUCAAGCAGAAGUAAAAGUACUUCUACUUAAAGUAGAGGUAGCACUCGGAGAGCCAGCCGGGGUAGCGGGGCGAAGAGAAGACCAACCUUGCAAAUGCUAAUGCAAAUUGCUAAGUUGAUCUUCUCUUGAGAGCAGCCACGCGCAUACCUAGCAAAUGUAAACAACAAGCGUUAGUAACAAAUACUCGUCAUGCAAAUUUUGAAUCCCAUGGCCGAAAUGACAAGUGCCCCCCACUGAUUCCUACCAACUAACUACCUGCCUCAAUCCUAAGCUGUCUGCCUCGUUCCUAAGCUGUCUGCCUCGGUCCUAAGCUACCUGCAUUCCAUUCGUAACUUCCGCUUUCCUCACCAUCACACAGACACUCACAACUGCCCAACCCGCCACCAGCCCGAACUGCCCACCCUUAAAACUGAAGGUAUUAAAAUUUUGGUAAAGUAUAUUGAAUAAUUAAUUUAAUUAUUCGAAUAUUUUAGGCCAAACGCAAACAAAUAAAUUAAAGGUUGACGAUUAAGAAAGACCGCGUAUACAAACAGGUGAGUUUCUUACUUGCCUCUAUAAAUGAAAUUUACAUAGAAAAAUAAACGAAACCUCAAAGUCCGGAUUUUGCCUUCUAUAUAUACUUUACUAUUGUCUUGGUUUAAAUAACGAAACUCAACUAAUUUUGCUGAUGUUAGGAAAUUAGUUAUUUUGUUCAGAAAAGAUAUAUUUUCUCUUUAAAUAUGCUCUCAAAAUUUUAAUUCCUUUAGUUUAGUUUAGCCUAACCCCAUGCAUCUUAUACACACGGCGCACACUCUCACACUCCAUACAUUUAGCUAAUAAAUUAUGUUAUAAACAAAAAAGCAAAAUAAAAAGAUAAAUUACGUUAUCACUAGCUAUCCUAUAACCCACUUAGACUGAGUUUUGGAUUCUGGUUCGAAACGUUCAAUCUUAACUGAAAGGGUAUGGGCUUGAGUUUUGUUAACUGGUCCGAAGUAUAUACAAACCUUAAACUUACCUAAACCAAAGGCUCGAUUAAAUAAGCAUGAGAAUGCAUUAAAUUAUUUUUAAAACUUUCGUAAGAGUUUAAAAUCCAAACGAAAAUUGCAUGCAAUGUCGCUAUAAUUUAGUGAGCAUAUUGUGCUGUUUAUCUAUGUAGUUCAAACAGAUCGAAACAGACUUAACCGCAAUUCUCAUACUCAUUUAACCAGAACGCCUUGAUGGUCAUUUGCAUGGCACGUCGCAGCUGCUUUCAAACCCGCAAGAGACAAGAUACUUAUCAUAUUUAAUCAAAGAGGAUUCAUUAUAAA